CAUGCAGUCGUACAAGGUAGCCGNUCGGGGGUACACGAGUGGCGAACGGGUGAGUAACACGUGGGUAAUCUGCCCUGCACUUCGGGAUAAGCCUGGGAAACUGGGUCUAAUACCGGAUAUGAACUCCUGCCGCAUGGUGGGGGUUGGAAAGUUUUUCGGUGCAGGAUGAGCCCGCGGCCUAUCAGCUUGUUGGUGGGGUAAUGGCCUACCAAGGCGACGACGGGUAGCCGGCCUGAGAGGGUGAUCGGCCACACUGGGACUGAGACACGGCCCAGACUCCUACGGGAGGCAGCAGUGGGGAAUAUUGCACAAUGGGCGAAAGCCUGAUGCAGCGACGCCGCGUGGGGGAUGACGGUCUUCGGAUUGUAAACCCCUUUCAGUAGGGACGAAGCGCAAGUGACGGUACCUGCAGAAGAAGCACCGGCUAACUACGUGCCAGCAGCCGCGGUAAUACGUAGGGUGCGAGCGUUGUCCGGAAUUACUGGGCGUAAAGAGCUCGUAGGCGGUUUGUCACGUCGUCUGUGAAAUCCCUCGGCUUAACCGGGGGCGUGCAGGCGAUACGGGCAGACUUGAGUACUACAGGGGAGACUGGAAUUCCUGGUGUAGCGGUGAAAUGCGCAGAUAUCAGGAGGAACACCGGUGGCGAAGGCGGGUCUCUGGGUAGUAACUGACGCUGAGGAGCGAAAGCAUGGGUAGCGAACAGGAUUAGAUACCCUGGUAGUCCAUGCCGUAAACGGUGGGCGCUAGGUGUGGGGUCCUUCCACGGACUCCGUGCCGUA
rnacentral:rRNA from 1 species